rnacentral:rRNA from 1 species
AUACGGAGGGUGCAAGCGUUGUUCGGAAUUAUUGGGCGUAAAGCGCGUGUAGGCGGCUUGGUAAGUCAGGUGUGAAAGCCCUUAGCUCAACUAAGGAAAGUCAUCUGAAACUGCCAGGCUUGAGUACGGGAGAGGAGAGUGGAAUUCCCGGUGUAGAGGUGAAAUUCGUAGAUAUCGGGAGGAACACCCGUGGCGAAGGCGACUCUCUGGACCGAUACUGACGCUGAGACGCGAAAGCGUGGGGAGCGAACAGGAUUAGAAACCCCGGUAGUCC